rnacentral:rRNA from 1 species
UUUGUUACUUCAAACCAAUCGGACUUCGGUCUGACAUCAAGUGAUAUUGAACAAUUUAGCUGAUCGCACGGUCUAAGAACCGGCGACAUAUCCUUCAAAUGUCUGCCUUAUCAACUUUCGAUGGUAGAUUAUGCGCCUACCAUGGUUGUAACGGGUAACGGAGAAUCAGGGUUUGAUUCCGGAGAGGGAGCCUGAGAAACGGCUACCACAUCCAAGGAAGGCAGCAGGCACGCAAAUUACCCACUCCCGGCACGGGGAGGUAGUGACGAAAAAUAACAAGCUGGUCUCAAUGAGUUCCAGCAUUGUAAUGGGAACAAUUUAAAUCUUUUAUCGAGGAUCUAUUGGAGGGCAAGUCUGGUGCCAGCAGCCGCGGUAAUUCCAGCUCCAAUAGCGUAUAUUAAAGUUGUUGCGGUUAAAAAGCUCGUAGUUGGAUCUAGGAUUAGGGCUACGGUCGUUCAGCUUGGACGUACUGUAUGCCCGACUCCUUUUCUCUAGUAUUCGAUUGUUGCUCUUAAAUGAGUGACUCUAGUUGCUGGAACUUUUACCUUGAAAAAAUUGAAGUGCUCAAAGCAGUUA